AUAGCUAAGCCAAAUCACACACGUUAAACAUAUCAUUUAUAGAAUGAGUCCAAACUUCACAUGUCAUUAAAGAAAAGACAGAGUGGUCUGACCAUUCGCCGGGUGGGGAGGAGGCUCGUUAGCUUAGUGGGAGAACACAAAGACGCCAUUAAUAAUCGACAAAAGCUUUACUCAAGAAAUAGUUAGUAAUUGCCGGUAACGUUGUUGCUAUUAUCUAUUUCGAUACAAUCAUCUGCGUUCCUUUCGACAGAGGGGAAAGGUGGAGAUUACGCGUGGCGGUAUGCACUGUCAUCAUCCCGUUAAAUCACGGCCGUUCAUUUUGAAGCCAUCACGUCAUUCGUCCUCCGUACACAAGUCGUGGGGUGCUUGCUAUAAAUAGAGAGAUGCCUCCCAAAAAACCGCUGCCCUUUUCCCUCCCUCGUUUUCUUGGACGACCAGAUCAAGAAGCCCCCCAAACCGUCGUUCCUCUCCCACCCUUCUCAUCGGCGGGGAUCGCCCUCCGCCGUCCGCGGCGGAGGAUGUGGCCUUCUUCAGCUGCAGCCAGCCGGCUGGCUCCCAUGAGGGAGAGCGGCAGGACGGCGCGUUCGAUUUCGUUGGGGGUACAAAUCCGGUUCGCUUCGGUCCAUCAUCAUCGGAGUGUCCGGUUUCACUCUAGUCCCGAUGUCCAGGUGAGACAUGCUCGUGUUCGUGCUUGGUGUUCUUGAUCUGUUGUUUGUCUUCGUUUUGGGUUCUUGCUUUGGUCCUGGACCUUGAUUUGACAGAAACAUGGUCCGAAUUCGCUUUGAUCGAUCAUCAUCGGAGUGUCCGGUUUCACUUUAGUACCGAUGUCCAGUGAGACUUGCUCUUGCUUGGUGUUCUUGAUAUGUUGCCUGUCUUGGUUUUCGGUCCUUGUUUUGAUCUUGGAUCUUGAAUUGGUAGAAACAUGGUCGGAAUUAUCUUCGGUCGAUCAUCACCGGAGUGUCCGGUUUCGCUUUAGUCUCGACGUCCAGGUGAGACCUGCUCGUGUUCGUGCGGGUGUUCUUGAUCUGUUGUUUGUCUUCGUUUUUGGUUCUUGUUUUGGUCUCGGAUCUUGAAUUGAUAGAAACGUGGUCCGAAUUCGCUUCGGUCGAUCAUCAUCGGAGUGUCCGGUUUCACUUUAGUCCCGAUGUCCAGGUGAGACCUGCUCGUGUUCGUGAGGGUGUUAUUGAUCUGUUGUUUGUCUUCUUUUUUGGUUCUUGUUUUGGUCUCGGAUCUUGAAUUGAUAGAAACGUGGUCCGAAUUCGCUUCGGUCGAUCAUCAUCGGAGUGUCCGGUUUCACUCUAGUCCCGAUGUCCAGGUUCCUACGCGAUGGGAUGUUGUAUUCCCCUCCGCCGGGGCAAGAAUGAGUCUUCGCUUCGGUCGAUCAUCUUGAUUUUCUGGUUCCUCGCCGAUCCUGGUCCCAAGGUGAGAUAUGCCUCGUCUCGUGCUUAGUAUUCUGAUCUGUUGUGCCACUCAGUUCUUGCUUUUGAUCUUUUUUCAUCUUGACCGGAUGGAAAACGUGGCUAGGAUGUGAAUUUUUAUUUGACUAAAAUAAGUUUCUUCUGCA